rnacentral:lncRNA from 1 species
GCCAGAGCUAGCAGUGGCAACCUGCUCAGUUUCUCUCUGCAGUGUGGAAGGUUUGUUCUUUUGCUGUUUGCGGUAAAUCUUGCUGCUGCUCACUGUUUUGGUUUGCAUUCCCUUUAUGAGCUGUGACACUCACCGCAAAGGUCUGCAGUUUCACUCCUGAGGCCAGUGCGACCACGAACCCACAGGGAGGAAUGAACAACUCCCGACAGGAGGAAUGAACAAUUCCAGACGCGCGCCGCCUUAAGAGCUGUAACACUCACCACGAAAGUCUGCAGCUUCACUCCUGAAGCUAGCAAGACCACGAACCCACUAGAAGGAAAAAACUCUGAACGCGUCUGAACAUCAGAAGGAGAAAACUUCGGACACACCGUCUUUAAGAACUGGAACACUUAUACCAUGAGGGUCUGCGGCUUCAUUCUUGAGCCAUUCAACAUAGUGCAUCAGAAGUGAUCUUUCAACACAUCCAGUACAUGAAUAAAUGAAAAACGCAAGUUACAAAACAUUACAGAGGUAAAAUCAUAAAUAUAGUCCCUGAAUUUCAUGGCCACCUGACCUUCACAUGAAGCUCAUAUUAAAGCCAUCUAUAGAGCAUGUUUUCCUGAAAACUUGACAAGAACCAACACCAAGGUCUCCAUUUGGAACCAGAACCUAAACUACGGUGUAGGAGACAUGGGGGAAGGAUCAUCUAGGUUGUUGACUUGGGGAAGAUAAGCUACUCACAGGUCCCUAACUCAUCAUUGUUUCCUAGUAACAACAAUUGCUUGAAAAUCAGAGUCUCGCUUUGCUGCCCAGGCUGUAGUGCAGUGGUGUGAUCUCAGCUCACUGCAAGCUCUGCCUCCCAGGUUCACACCAUUCUCCUGCCUCAGCUUCCUGAGGAGCUGGGACUACAGGUGCACGCCACCACACCCAGCUAAUUUCUUGAAUUUUUAGUAGAGACGGGGUUUCACCGUGUUAUCCAGGAUGGUCUUGAUCUCCUGACCUCCUGAUCCUCCCACCUUGGCCUCCCAAAGUGCUGGGAUUACAGGCUUGAGCCACUGCGCCCGGCUCAUUCAUCUUCCUUAUUUCCCUCAACCUGCUGUCUCUCUUUUUCUGUCAUUCCCUUCUGCUUUUUCCCAGUCCAGGUUUGAAUACCCGCCUCCAAGUGAUAGGAAAGAACAGCCAAGUUUGAAUGCACACUGAUGUUUCAGGACCAUGGACAGUAGCAUCGGUUGCCCAGGAAAGUACAAAUGGACAUUGGGAGGCCGAGGUGGGCAGAUCACGUGGGCAGGAGAUCGAGACCAUCCUCGCCAACAUGGUGAAACCCUGUCUCUACUGAAAAUACAGAAGUUAUCUGGGCGUGGUGGCGUGCACCUGUAAUCUCAGCUACUCGGGAGGCUGAGGCAGGAGACUCACUUGAACCCGGGAGGUGGAGGUUGCAGUGAGCCGAGAUCGCGCCACUGCACUCCAGCCUGGUGACAGAGCGAGACUCCAUCAUAAAUAAAUAAAUAAAUAAUAAAUGAAUAAAUAAAA